UACGUAGGGUGCAAGCGUUUGUCCGGAAUUAUUGGGCGUAAAGAGCUCGUAGGCGGUCUGUCGCGUCGGCUGUGAAAACCCCGAGGCUCAACCUCGGGCCUGCAGUCGAUACGGGCAAACUAGAGUACUGCAGGGGGAGACUGGAAUUCCUGGUGUAGCGGUGAAAUGACGCAGAUAUCAGGAGGAACACCGGUGGGCGAAGGCGGGUCUCUGGGCAGUAACUGACGCUGGAGGAGCGAAAGCCGUGGGGAGCGAACAGG
rnacentral:rRNA from 1 species